rnacentral:lncRNA from 1 species
GAAACUUCCAGUGUGGACCACAGGAAGAAAAAUCAAAGUAAUCCACGCUCCCACAUUUCCCACAUCCUUCAAGUCACACUACACUGAGUAACGGUCUCCCGAUGCUUUGGCAAUACCCAUGUGUCUUUCUUUAACAACCAGAAAUUAUGAGGCCUGGACAGGAUGCAAAUUGUUCUCAGUCAGCCUGGGAAAUAGCUAAGGGAACAUGAGGCAGAUGAAAAUGAUCUGUUUUGUCUUUCCUACCUUGGCCUUUGGGAAGCAACGUCAGCUUCGAUAAACAUCAAAAAUAUAAGGAGCACAGAAAUCAAUAUGAUGACCGGAGACACAGCUGUUGGAGGAAAAAAGUUUAUGUCAAUUAAAAUCCUGAAUUUCUCUGAUCUGGAAAGAAAAACUGCUAUGAACUCUUUAGAUGCCAACACAAGUGCUGAAGAGGAUGUUACAUGAGAGAAAGAUGGAUUCAUAUGUGGAAAAGCCUUCUAAGGAUAAAGUCUACCAUAUACUGACUUACUUUUGGAGGUAACAAGGGUUGGUGAGAUCUCAGUAGUGUCCUUCUCACGAGGAGCCUUGACAUCCUUCAUGCCACACCACUUUAUCAGUAAACCCUCCAGGAUGGAACUAUUUACUGAAAUGCCAGUACUCCCCCUCAUUUUUUAAACUACAUGACCUGUUCAGUGCUGUCUGUUCUGGAAUGAAAGGCCAAUAUCCAAGUGUUCAGAAAGACCCGGGAGAUGGGACAAAGAGGAUGAAGCUGGGGCUGGAAGGCGACUCUGGGAACGGCUCAUAAAGAUGUCCCACAGAAUGACUGAGGCUUUGUUUCAUGAAUAGGUGUCUCCAUUCGGCCUUGAUGGCUAACCAGCCAACUGAACAAGUGUAAAGGGCCCAAGAAAGGCCCGUAAAACCCAUGACAUGAAAGAACAAUUUAGGAAAAUAACAACUAAGGUAAAAAUAUCAUUUUUAUUGCAUAAAUUGCAUGAGGAGUUGUGAAAUUAAAACCAUUUAUUUAUAAAAGUUAUUUCCUCAAAAAAUAAAUAAUAUUAGGUAUAUCUCCUAAUGCUAUCCCUCCCCCCUCCCCACCCCACAACAGGCCCCAGUGUGUGAUGUUCCCCUUCCUGUGUCCAUGUGUUCUCAUUGUUCAAUUCCCACCUAUGAGUGAGAACAUGCGGUGUUACACCUAAUGUUAAAUGACGAGUUAAUGGGUGCAGCACACCAACAUGGCACAUGUAUACAUAUGUAACAA